GCACGGAAUCCCACUUGGGUGCGGUGGUUGUUUACUGGUUGCGACAGCACGCAACGUCAAUCUUUUCCCAAGGGAGAAGGGAAGGAGGGGUUUUGUGGGCGACGAGGAACCAGAAAGAAAGGUUGGAGGACAGUUGGGGUAGAGGAACCAGGGGGCUGGGAAGCCUAACCCUCCCCCGGUUUUCCCUUGGUUUUUGACUCAACUAUCCCCAUCCAAAUACCCAUAUGCCCUUCCUUCUUCCUUAAUUCCCCAUCUCCCCUCACACCGUCGCCCCCACACGAUUAUAUCGUAAAAUAAUUUAAUUUUAAUUUAUGACCAAUUAUUCAAGCCGGGCAAUUUCGUUCACAUCUGGCGCUGACCGAGAUGGGCUCUCCAUCCGCUAACAACCCAGAGGUCCCUAAAUUAAAUGAUUACUCAAAAUAAAUUAAGUGACCAGGCUAAGGGUAAAAUAGUCAUUCAAAAGAGGAUGCCUUGUGACCUAAACCCCCCUUUCCACCCCCCCUCUCUGAAUAAAUCCCCAGCUUUCUCCUCACUUCCCCACCAGUUCGUCUUCUCCUUCUCAUUUUCGUUUCUUCUCCGCUCCCGCCGCCGCCUCCCGCCUCCCGCCAUGUCUUCCUUCGUCAGCAAAUACCAAGAUGAACUCAUUGCCAAUGCUGCUUAUAUUGGCACGCCGGGAAAGGGUAUUCUCGCUGCUGAUGAAUCUACUGGUACAAUUGGCAAACGUCUUGCCAGCAUUAACGUUGAGAAUGUUGAAA